UGGAAGGUGACGGUGGCGUGGCGGACCGUGAACACCAUCUGGGGCUGUUUGGCAGAGUCCUUCACCUGUAAAAGACAAGCAGGAGCUUUAUGAGGAGCCACCUCUUCACAGUGGUGAUGAUCACACUGGUGAUAUCAAUGACACUUAGGGCUUAGAAUUUUUUUAGAGUUUAGUCAUAGAACUCCAAGUUGUUCAGAAAAGCAUAUUUUUCUAUUACCUUGUGACAUGUUGAUUAUUUUACUGGGCUAUCUUUAGUGCUGACCUAGGCUUCACUGGUGCACUUCCAUACCAGACAUUAGGCAGCCAGGCGUGG
rnacentral:lncRNA from 1 species